UGGAAAUUUUUCGACGUACUUUUUCGCCUAUAUAAGAAAUUAAGCCGAUGGUAAAAUUUCGUUUAUUGUGUUCUUGCGAAAAUGGCGUCUACGUUCGUUUUUUCUUCAUUAGGCCUACUUGUGGUGGUGCUAUUGCAGGUGUCCUCGUACACGGAGGCAAUGCCCACACAAGAUGUGUCUGGUUUUGAGUCACAAUCGUUCGAAGAAUCUGAAUAUGCGAAUUAUUCUGCUGAUCUGGCUGCUAGAGCUGUCGACGAUCCCCCGGCCGCAAAACCACCGGUAAAAAAAACGUAUACGGCUAGAGGAAAAGAAAUUGCUGGGAAAGUUGUCAAAAAAGUAAAAGAGGCAGCUAGUGCAACAGCUAGUGCAGUGUCUGCGAGAUACGAGUCAUUAAGAAAAAAACCUAAAGCUGGUGAAGCUAAAGCUGGUAAAGCUAAAUCUGGUGCAUAACUCGUAAAUAUGUACGAAGAAAAUUACUCUUUUGUCCUUAUUACAAACGAGUAGUUAUUUGUGUAUUUUAAUACAUUGAUUGAAUCUGAA